rnacentral:rRNA from 1 species
AUUGAACGCUGGCGGCAGGCCUAACACAUGCAAGUCGAGCGGAUGAAGGGAGCUUGCUCCUGGAUUCAGCGGCGGACGGGUGAGUAAUGCCUAGGAAUCUGCCUGGUAGUGGGGGAUAACGUCCGGAAACGGGCGCUAAUACCGCAUACGUCCUGAGGGAGAAAGUGGGGGAUCUUCGGACCUCACGCUAUCAGAUGAGCCUAGGUCGGAUUAGCUAGUUGGUGGGGUAAAGGCCUACCAAGGCGACGAUCCGUAACUGGUCUGAGAGGAUGAUCAGUCACACUGGAACUGAGACACGGCCCAGACCCCUACGGGAGGCAGCAGUGGGGAAUAUUGGACAAUGGGCGAAAGCCUGAUCCAGCCAUGCCGCGUGUGUGAAGAAGGUCUUCGGAUUGUAAAGCACUUUAAGUUGGGAGGAAGGGCAGUAAGUUAAUACCUUGCUGUUUUGACGUUACCAACAGAAUAAGCACCGGCUAACUUCGUG